UACGGAGGAUGCAAGCGUUAUCCGGAAUGAUUGGGCGUAAAGCGUCCGCAGGUGGCAAUGUAAGUCUGCUGUUAAAGAGUCUAGCUCAACUAGAUAAAAGCAGUGGAAACUACAUAGCUAGAGUACGUUCGGGGCAGAGGGAAUUCCUGGUGUAGCGGUGAAAUGCGUAGAGAUCAGGAAGAACACCAGUGGCGAAGGCGCUCUACUGGGCCACAACUGACGCUGAGGGACGAAAGCUAGGGGAGCGAAAGGG
rnacentral:rRNA from 1 species